UAUAAUCCCUCAUAUUCUCAGCAAUCAUUAUUUAAAAAAAAAUUGUUAAAAAAGCUUCCAGAUUUUAUACUAGUAUCUUUUUUGCCUCCAACAAGAUGCAGAAGAUGCAGCUGGUACUUGCUCUCGCCCUUUUGCUUUUGUCGAUUGGAAAAGGUAAUGCAGGGUCCACACGACCUUGUCAGAGUCCAGGAGAUUGCAAAGUUGAUUGUGGUGAAGAUGGGAAAAUAAUUUGCAUCCAUAAUACUUGUGUGUGCCAAAAAUGCACAAACUUUUUCCCUCCUAAUCCAUCUGAUGAAUCAUUUGUACCCAAGACGAAUGCACAACCCAUCCCAUCCCAAUUCUAAAUGUAAUAACUAGCUAGUACAAUGUUACAAAUUUAUGUAUUGAAAGUAGAAGUUUAUUGAGGUUGUAAAGCCUCAUAAAAUAUAGAUAUGCAACUAUUUUAGCU